CAAUAGCGUAUAUUUGAGUUGUUGCAGUUAAAAAGCUCGUAGUCGGAUUUUGGCUGAGAACGAUCGGUCCGCCGUUAGGUGUGCACUGAUUGGUCUCAGCUUCCUGGUGAGGAGGUGUGCUUCACGGCCACUUAGUCACCGUGGUUACUUUGAAAAAAUUAGAGUGUUCAAAGCGGGCUUACGCUUGAAUAUAUUAGCAUGGAAUAACACCAUAGGACUCCUGUCCUAUUUCGUUGGUCACGGGACGGGAGUAAUGAUUAAGAGGAACAGUUGGGGGCAUUCGUAUUUCAUUGUCAGAGGUGAAAUUCUUGGAUUUAUGAAAGACGAACUUCUGCGAAAGCAUUUGCCAAGGAUGUUUUCAUUGA
rnacentral:rRNA from 1 species